rnacentral:lncRNA from 10 species
UGCCACCACGCCAGGCUAAUUUUUGUUUGUUGUUAUUUUUAGUAGAGACGGGGUUUCACCGUGUUCGCCAGGAUGGUCUCGAUCUCCUGACCUCAUGAUCCGCCCGCCUCGGCCUCCCAAAGUGCUGGGAUUACAGGCGUGAGCCACCGCGCCCAGUCCCCAAGUUUAUCUUCAAAGUAGGUAGAGUCAACUCAAGUUAGCAGACAUUCAUUCCUUCAUUAAACUGAGAGCUUGCUAUAUAUGCCAGACGAGGCAGCAUCUCUUCUGAGUAAACUGA